UACGUAGGGUGCAAGCGUUGUCCGGAAUUAUUGGGCGUAAAGAGCUCGUAGGCGGUUUGUCGCGUCUGCUGUGAAAACUGGAGGCUCAACCUUCAGAGGUCGACCGAAACCAUCUGGCUAGAGUCCGGGAGAGGAGAGUGGAAUUCCUGGUGUAGCGGUGAAAUGCGCAGAUAUCAGGAAGAACACCCGUGGCGAAAGCGGCUCUCUGGAACGGUACUGACGCUGAGACGCGAAAGCGUGGGGAGCGAACAGG
rnacentral:rRNA from 1 species